AAACUCUUAAAGACACACGCUGCAUGACUUUGUCUGUUAUUUCUGACAGUCAUGUCCGUCUGACACACUGGAAUGCAGGCAGAUCAGACAGAAGGUCACCAAGGAUUUACUUUCAAUACACGUAGAACCAGAUUAGGUUGUGUGUGUAUAAACAAGAACUUAAAGUGUCUUUCCUUGGUUUGUGAUUCCACAUACAGUAAUUACAUGACGUUAACGCCUUGGUGGAGUGAAGUGAAAUGAAAACCUUUAUCUGCUAUAGGGUCGUGUUUUGGACGUCUGAUACAUCUUACCACGACCAAAAGACUCUUCAUCUCCUUCAGAGUGGCACAGCAUCCAAUUAUUCCGGUCACUAUGACGAUGACCCCAGCAGCUAUCAGGAUGUAAGCUGAGGCUGAGUAAAAGCUGGAGUUGAGUAAACUGAUGUAGUCGCUCUUUUCCACCAGAGUCCACACUCCCACUGUCAGGACAGCUCCUCCUGCCACCUGAGAGAACGUGCACCGUUAUCAUCUUUUCAAUUCAGAGUCCAUCCAUCCUCUCACCGCGGUGAAGGAGGGGGAGUGAGUGACGUCGUACAUGGCAAGGACACUGUCAGCCUUUCUGUAGUACUGCUCAGUGAUGCUGCGAAACCUGAAAAAAAGAGGAAUCGUGUCCCAAAGCUGCAGGGUGAUGCUGGUGGAGUCCAGGGUUAAAGUCUUCAUCUGGAAAUCAAUACCUACAGAAAACAUCAGAGGCCCCUGGAUUCAUGUUUUACAGAUACAUUGAGGAGCAAGUUAAUCAUUGAGAAAGAGUGAUAAGAGUGAUCUUACCAACAGUAGCACUCAUUUUACUGCAGAAGCAUCCUGUGCAGUAGUGCUGGAUGAAGGAGCUCUUACCCACACCUGAGUUACCCAAGAACACCACCUUGAACACUCGCUGAGGAUCGACAAGUCUGCUCUAAAAUUCAGAUGAGCUCAGCUGUCUUCAGGAUCAAUGAAGACACAAAAUUAGUGGCCUCCCGGGGGAAAACACACUCACUGUGAAGAUGGUACAUGUUAUAUCAGAUGCAGCUCGUACCUCGACAUCCUCAGACAGGGGCCUGCUCUGUGUCCCAGACACCCAAAUGGAACUAAAGGGGACAUUUGCAGUCAGGGCCCCGAGGCUCUGGAAUGAUCUGCUCCAGAAAAUCUGGUCGGCUGACCCCGAGAUUUCUUUGAACUGUUUUUUCACUUUUAUAACUAUUCUAUUUAGUUCUGAAGUUGUUGACUUAAUCAGAAUUUUGAAAAGUGCUCUAUAAAUAAAGAAUAUCAUUAUAAAAGAUUACUUUGUUGGGGCUGAGUGCCACCAACAGAGUGGGGAAGCCAGAAAGAACUGGGAGACUGUACACUGUUGGUUUUGUUCUCUUCGUGUUAUUUGUAAAAAAAAAACAAAAAACCUUUAAUAAACCCCUUGUAUUCAUGAAAAUAUUAUCAGAUCAUCUGCCACCUACCUUGGAGUCAUUUUUAAACUCAAGUCCACAUGAUUCUUUACAACAUCUUUAACAAAAUUGAGUGUUCUUAUGUUCUCCACUUUGGGGGAAGUUUUAACUUGUCCGACAUGGGAAAGUUAUUGACAGUUUUAUUUUAUCUCACAUUUGUUGUAGUGACUUUUUUCUGGUCCUGCUUUAAAAAAACAUGAAACAAAACCCCCCCAAAUUUCAUUGCCUGCAGCGAGUUUGAACUACAAAACGGGGCUCAUAUGACUCCCAUGUGUUAAUUGCUAUUUUUUAUUUGUUUGGAGCAAAGCAGUCACACACCAAAGAGGGACAGUGAUAUCAUGAUCUUAUAUUCAGGACACUCCAGCAGCUAUCUGUGACGUUAGCCACUCACCUCUGUG